UACGGAGGGUGCGAGCGUUGUCCGGAAUCACUGGGCGUAAAGGGCGCGUAGGCGGCCUGAUAAGUAGGGGGUGAAAUCCUGCGGCUUAACCGCAGGGCUGCCUUCUAAACUGUCAGGCUUGAGCACAGUAGAGGCAGGUGGAAUUCCCGGUGUAGAGGUGAAAUUCGUAGAUAUCAGGAGGAACACCAACGGCGAAGGCAGCUUGCUGGGACGGUACUGACGCUAAGGCGCGAAAGCGUGGGGAGCGAACAGG
rnacentral:rRNA from 1 species